rfam:Nematostella vectensis strain CH2 x CH6 NEMVEscaffold_330_Cont24019, whole genome shotgun sequence.
GGCUCAGCGGUCUAGUGGUAUGAUUCUCGCUUUGGGUGCGAGAGGCCAUGGAGUUCGAUUCCCGUCUGAGCCC